GCCUGGGUGGCGGAAUGGCAGACGCACCGGACUUAAAAUCCGUUGCCGGGUAAUCCGGCGUGAGGGUUCGACUCCCUCCCCAGGCACCA
rnacentral:tRNA from 1 species